rfam:Calypte anna contig71974, whole genome shotgun sequence.
ACCAAGGCUCUUUUCAGAGCCACCCACAAAUUUC